UAGGGAAUCUUCCACAAUGGACGCAAGUCUGAUGGAGCAACGCCGCGUGAGUGAAGAAGGUUUUCGGAUCGUAAAGCUCUGUUGUUGGUGAAGAAGGAUAGAGGCAGUAACUGGUCUUUAUUUGACGGUAAUCAACCAGAAAGUCACGGCUAACUACGUGCCAGCAGCCGCGGUAAUACGUAGGUGGCAAGAGUUGUCCGGAGUUAUUGGGCGUAAAGCGAGCGCAGGCGGAAUGAUAAGUCUGAUGUGAAAGCCCACGGCUCAACCGUGGCACUGCAUCGGAAACUGUAAUUCUUGAGUGCAGAAGAGGAGAGUGGAAUUCCAUGUGUAGCGGUGGAAUGCGUAGAUAUAUGGAAGAACACCAGUGGCGAAGGCGGCUCUCUGGUCUGCAACUGACGCUGAGGCUCGAAAGCAUGGGUAGCGAACAGG
rnacentral:rRNA from 1 species